rnacentral:rRNA from 1 species
UAGAGUUUGAUCCUGACUCAGAACGAACGCUGGCGGCGUGCCUAAUACAUGAAAGUCGUAACAAGGUAACCGUAAGUCGUAACAAGGUAACCGUAAGUCGUAACAAGAUAGCCGUAAAGUUUGAUCCUGGCUCAGGAAAGUCGUAACAAGGUAGCCGUAGAGUUUGAUCAUGGCCAGUUUGAUCAUGGCUCAGCCUUUACUUAAAAAAAUGGAGAAGUCGUAACAAGGUAACCGUAAGUCGUAACAAGGUAGCCGUAAGUCGCAAAAGUAACCGUAA